UACUUUAAUAAAGAACUUUAUUAAAGUGUAACCACUAGAUGUCAGCACUUAUGAACGGCAAUCCCACCCACAGUUCUGAGGUCCGUGUCAUUUUUUUUCUUUAUUAUGAUUGAUGAAAAAAGAUAAUUGGUAAAUAAAAUGUUUGCUUGAAAUACAUAAAAUACUAUAUUUAGAAAAUAAUAAAUUCAAUUAUGACAAUUCUCAAAACAAGAACAAAAUCUCAAUUUAAGUGACCAGUUUGCAGACCCUGGAGGUUCACAAACUGACCUUUGCCAGGACAAAAUUCUAAGUGCAAGGAUUCUCCACAAGCAAUACCGAAUCAUCUCAAUCAAAUAAGUGGAGUCUGAAUCUGUCUUUGGGAUUUCCUUCAGGUCAUGAGAGCAAGAUGUUCUUCAUGAAAGAACCACACUAGUUAUGGUCCUGCACACGUGCUGCCUGUGUAGCUUUUUGGCACCUGCCCAACUAUUUUCAGUCUCUUCUUUUAGAUUUAGGUCAUGGAAUCACUGAGUUCCCUAGUGCACCUCUUUUGCUGCACAGUCAACAAAACAAACCAAAAAUCACUGCACCAACAGAAUGCUUAAAAUACGAAAGUUGUUUGCUUGUUUUUCCUAGAAUAUAAAAAUCCCUCUUGGGCUACUUCUAAACAGCAAAACCAAGUGAGAAGCACCAAGAGAAAGGAGCAUGGCAAAGGUGUGUCGACUGGGCGGGGUCUGUGAGCCUGGCUGAAAGUACUGCAAGUCUAAUUAGCUGCUUAAUGAACCAUUAUUAAGCUGUCUGGGGU
rnacentral:lncRNA from 1 species